UUUACCGGGCAACCGCUGGUGAGUCUUGAUUCACUAGAGGAAAGUCGGGACUGGCCUUGUCUUAAAUGACAAGAAAGUUGGUGCACAGUGCAAGCUGUGGCAGGGUGACCUGACGGCAGUGAACCUGUCCCACCGGGACAGUAGUAACCAUAAAGGCUCCACAGAGACGAACUGUAGUGGCAACAUUACAGAUGAAACGAGGAAAGCCCCACCAGCCAGCAACGCAAAUUAUGGUAGCGGCACCCCUUCGGGGGCGGAAGCAUUAAGGUGCUUUUGAGAUAGAUGGUUGCCUUAAAUGACAGAAUCCCGCUUACAGGU
rnacentral:RNase_P_RNA from 1 species